rnacentral:rRNA from 1 species
UACGAAGGGGGGCUAGCGUUGCUCGGAAUCACUGGGCGUAAAGGGUGCGUAGGCGGGUCUUUAAGUCAGAGGUGAAAUCCUGGAGCUCAACUCCAGAACUGCCUUUGAUACUGAGGAUCUUGAGUUCGGGAGAGGUGAGUGGAACUGCGAGUGUAGAGGUGAAAUUCGUAGAUAUUCGCAAGAACACCAGUGGCGAAGGCGGACUCACUGGCCCAU